UGAAGUAUAGCCAAGUGGUAAGGCCUCCGUUUUUGGUACGGAAA
rnacentral:tRNA from 2 species